AUUGAACGCUGGCGGCAUGCUUUACACAUGCAAGUCGAACGGCAGCGCGGGCUUCGGCCUGGCGGCGAGUGGCGAACGGGUGAGUAAUGCAUCGGAACGUGCCCAGUAGUGGGGGAUAGCCCGGCGAAAGCCGGAUUAAUACCGCAUACGACCUGAGGGUGAAAGCGGGGGACCGAAAGGCCUCGCGCUAUUUGAGCGGCCGAUGUCGGAUUCGCUAGUUGGUGGGGUAAAGGCUUACCAAGGCGGCGAUCCGUAGCUGGUCUGAGAGGACGACCAGCCACACGGGGACUGAGACACGGCCCAGACUCCUACGGGAGGCAGCAGUGGGGAAUUUUGGACAAUGGGGGCAACCCUGAUCCAGCCAUGCCGCGUGCGGGAAGAAGGCCUUCGGGUUGUAGACCGCUUUUGUUCGGGAAGAAAUCCUCUGGGCUAAUACCCCGGGGGGAUGACGGUACCGGAAGAAUAAGCACCGGCUAACUACGUG
rnacentral:rRNA from 1 species